CUGGAAAAGGGUGGAUCAGUCCCCAGAUAUUGUUGUUAGUAGUUUGCUAUCAAGGUGGUGUGAGGAGAUAAUAAUGUCAUUCUUAUUUCGAACUGCAUAUUAGGAUACUGCCCUCCUGAAUGGGAAAUGUAUUUUUUUACGAUAUCUCAUGAGUAAUGAAAUCCCCUGUAUCCGAAUGUUCGUAACAUGAUUCAAUGGGCAAAAGCUGUACUUCAUGAUAAGGAUGAAGACAUUACAGGAUUACACGCAUGACAUUCCCUAAUCUGGCAGGUGGUUUUUGUUUUUUUGAAAGAUAUGGUUUUUUGAACAAACUGGCAUUCAACGAUUGAAAGUUUAAAAUGUAUCGUCUGUACUAAAUUUAAAAAACGUCAGUUUAAUCUCCUGUGGUUUUUUGAAUUUAGUACAGACGAUACAUCAGCAUG
rnacentral:lncRNA from 1 species